CCUACGGGGUGCAGCAGUGGGGAAUAUUGGACAAUGGGCGAAAGCCUGAUCCAGCCAUGCCGCGUGUGCGAAGAAGGCCUUCGGGUUGUAAAGCACUUUCAGUGGGGAAGAAAGCCUUGGGGCUAAUACCCUCGAGGAAGGACAUCACCCACAGAAGAAGCACCGGCUAACUCCGUGCCAGCAGCCGCGGUAAUACGGAGGGUGCGAGCGUUAAUCGGAAUUACUGGGCGUAAAGCGCGCGUAGGCGGUCUGAUAAGCCGGUUGUGAAAGCCCCGGGCUCAACCUGGGAACGGCAUCCGGAACUGUCAGGCUAGAGUGCAGGAGAGGAAGGUAGAAUUCCCGGUGUAGCGGUGAAAUGCGUAGAGAUCGGGAGGAAUACCAGUGGCGAAGGCGGCCUUCUGGACUGACACUGACGCUGAGGUGCGAAAGCGUGGGUAGCAAACAGGAUUAGAUACCUAGUAGUC
rnacentral:rRNA from 1 species